rnacentral:ncRNA from 1 species
UUAACAUGUGCGCGAGUCAUUGGGCUUUACGAGACCCCAGAGGCGCAGGUUAAGGUGACAUCUUGCUCAUUAAAUCCCAGCUGCGAGCAACAGGCGCAUCACCGGCUCGUCCCAUGAAGUAGACAUGUGGCCUUGUGCUAUAUGCAUCGUCGAGGGGUGGGGGGGCAGGAAGAGCGUACAUGUUGAGACCCGAAAGAGGAUGAACUAUGCUUGCAAAGGUUGAAGCCAGAGGAAACUCUGGUGGAGAACCGUAGCGAUUACUUUACACCGAUUCGGGACGUAAACACUGACGCAAAGUGGUGUCUACCAAUUUUUGCUAG